rfam:Ictidomys tridecemlineatus contig001985, whole genome shotgun sequence.
GGGGCUGUAGCUCAGUGGUAGAGCAUUUGCUUCACAGGUGUGAGGCCCUGGGUUCGAUCCUCAGCACCA